AAGAGCCAAGAAACCCUUAUAGAGUUUUUAGGAUGAACAAGACAAUCAAGUGUGGGAAGUGCCAGAAAGAAGGACAUAAUGCAAGAGGGUACAAGGCAAGCAUCAUUGGUGAAACUCCAUGGUAGAGAAGAGAUAGACUUGCUAAACCAAAAGCUGUAAGUAUUUCCAUGCUUUGAACUAUAUUCAUUUCCUCAUAUAUUUCAUGUGUAUGUAACUUGUACACUCCUUUUUGUAGGCAUAAGGCAGUAAAUCUACAAAAACAAAUUAGACUACAACACCUCAAAUUGCAUCUUAGCCACCAAGUACUAUAUCUCAGCCUGCAUACAAAGCUUUUGGUCAAACUGCAUCUCAACCUACACCAAACAAUAGAUCUGAGGCAGCAACUCAACCUCCAACUACAUCUAGGGCCAACUGGUUCUCUUCAUCCUCACAACUAAGCUUUCAUACCCCUAGAGAGAUCCAAGUGCACUGUGAGCACUAGUGGUGCACCAAGUCAAGGAAGUGGUGGUGGUGCUGUUAGGGGGUUUAAAGGCAGAAAGUUUGGUGUAUCAAGGCCAACAAAGCUUCAACCAGUUGGUGGAAAGGGCAAGAAGGCUGCUGGCAAGGGCACCAAAAGCAAUAAAUGAAGAUGGAAGAUGUUAAAGUUUCAACCACUUUUUUUGUUAUAGUUCUCACGCUUAAUGUAACUAGUAUUUGCUUAAGCAUGGUCAAGUGUCAAAAACAAUAUUGGCAAUUUCGGUUGGAAGAUGUGUAUGUCUGAUGUGUGGUGGACUAGUAGUUGGGUUUUGGUAGUAAAUCUGUCUGCAUGUGACAUAAAGUCACAAUAAUUGUCUUCACUUUUACUAAUGUUAAUGUGCAUUGACACAGGAUAAAGUA